rnacentral:rRNA from 1 species
GACGAACGCUGGCGGCGUGCCUAAUACAUGCAAGUCGAACGCAGUGGGGACGGGUGAGUAACACGUGGGUAACCUCCCAUCAGAGGGGAUAACACUUGGAAACAGGUGCUAAACCGAUACUGAUGGAUGGACCCGCGGUGCAUUAGCUAGUUGGUGAGGUAACGGCUCACCAAGGCCACGAUGCAUAGCCGAGCUGAGAGGGUGAUCAGCCACAUUGGGCCUGAGACACGGCCCAGACGCCAACGUGAGGCAGCAUGGGGGAAUCUUGGGCAAUGGACGAAAGUCGUACCGAGCAACGCCGCGGGAGUGAAGAAGUUUUUCGGAUCGUAAAACCCUUUUAUUAGAGAAGCGGUAUCUAACCAGAAAGCCCCGGCUAACUACGUGCCAGCCGCCGCGGUAAUAC